rnacentral:rRNA from 1 species
GUGGGGAAUCUUGCGCAAUGGGCGAAAGCCUGACGCAGCCAUGCCGCGUGCAGGAAGAAGGCCUUCGGGUUGUAAACUGCUUUUGUACGGAACGAAAAGGCUCUGGCUAAUACCUGGAGCUCAUGACGGUACCGUAAGAAUAAGCACCGGCUAACUACGUGCCAGCAGCCGCGGUAAUACGUAGGGUGCGAGCGUUAAUCGGAAUUACUGGGCGUAAAGCGUGCGCAGGCGGUGCUGUAAGACAGGCGUGCAAUCCCCGGGCUCAACCUGGGAAUUGCGCUUGUGACUGCAGCGCUGGAGUGCGGCAGAGGGGGAUGGAAUUCCGCGUGUAGCAGUGAAAUGCGUAGAUAUGCGGAGGAACACCGAUGGCGAAGGCAAUCCCCUGGGCCUGCACUGACGCUCAUGCACGAAAGCGUGGGGAGCAAACAGGAUUAGAUACCCGAGUAGUCC